AUGAACGCUGGCGGCGUGCCUAAUCCAUGCAAGUCGAGCGAACAGACGAGGAGCUUGCUCCUCUGACGUUAGCGGCGGACGGGUGAGUAACACGUGGAUAACCUACCUAUAAGACUGGGAUAACUUCGGGAAACCGGAGCUAAUACCGGAUAAUAUAUUUAACCGCAUGGUUCAAUAGUGAAAGACGGUUUUGCUGUCACUUAUAGAUGGAUCCGCGCCGCAUUAGCUAGUUGGUAAGGUAACGGCUUACCAAGGCAACGAGGCGUAGCCGACCUGAGAGGGUGUUCGGCCACACUGGAACUGGGACACGGACCAGACUCCUACGGGAGGCAGCAGUAGGGAAUCUUCCGCAAUGGGCGAGAGCCUGACGGAGCAACGCCGCGUGAGUGAUGAAGGUCUUCGGAUCGUAAAACUCUGUUAUUAGGGAAGAACAAAUGUGUAAGUAACUAUGCACGUCUUGACGGUACCUAAUCAGAAAGCCACGGCUAACUACGUG
rnacentral:rRNA from 1 species